UGGGGAAUAUUGCACAAUGGGCGCAAGCCUGAUGCAGCCAUGCCGCGUGUGUGAAGAAGGCCUUCGGGUUGUAAAGCACUUUCAGCGAGGAGGAAGGUGGUGAGCUUAAUACGCUCAUCAAUUGACGUUACUCGCAGAAGAAGCACCGGCUAACUCCGUGCCAGCAGCCGCGGUAAUACGGAGGGUGCAAGCGUUAAUCGGAAUUACUGGGCGUAAAGCGCACGCAGGCGGUUUGUUAAGUCAGAUGUGAAAUCCCCGGGCUCAACCUGGGAACUGCAUUUGAAACUGGCAAGCUAGAGUCUCGUAGAGGGGGGUAGAAUUCCAGGUGUAGCGGUGAAAUGCGUAGAGAUCUGGAGGAAUACCGGUGGCGAAGGCGGCCCCCUGGACGAAGACUGACGCUCAGGUGCGAAAGCGUGGGGCAGCAAACAGGAUUAGAUACCCUGGUAGUCCAGCGCUGUAAACGAUGUCGAUUUGGAGGUUGUGCCCUUGAGGCGUGGCUUCCGGAGCUAACGCGUUAAAUCGACCGCCUGGGGAGUACGGCCGCAA
rnacentral:rRNA from 1 species